ensembl:lncRNA
GUGUGCAAAGAAAUUAGGUUAAGCCUUGAUUCCUCCCACGAGACGGGAGCCAUUUUCUCAGGCGGUCAGAGCACGGGGAGGGGCAGAAGUGGGUUUACUGCAAAGAGGGCAAGAAAUUAUAGGAGCUUGAGGCCUCACCAAACCUGAAUCUCUCCUUGGGGGGAGUGAGCUCACUCUGGGGCCAGCCAAGGGAUCCCGUCAUGUCUGGGCUCCCUCUGGGCAGCCUGCCCUGAAAGAGAAGAUAACCUGCAUUCUGAAAGACUAGUGAAGAACAAAAGGAAGUGACACGGGCCGUAUUGGUUCUGGAGGUUUGCAGAACUCCUUACAUUUAUGGAGGUCCCCUUCCGCCAAUUGUUUUAACUCAUUACACCCGCAGGAGAUUUUAGCAAAUCUUAUUUGCAUAACUUUGUUCAAGACAGUCCCUCCACCUGGAAUUCUCUGUUUUCCUUGCAUUGCGCACCUGUGCCACCCUCCUCCUCCAGACUCUUGACUAUUGAAAUUGAAAUUUUAUUGUCUUUUAAGGUCUGCUUCCCAGUUUACCUCCUCCAACUUCACCAAUGCAGUUGGAAAUUGUCUCUCUGCUCUGAACUCCUCGGUCACAGUCUGAUCACACCCUGGCCUGAAUUGAAGUUGUUUGACAGCUCUUCUGUCUUUUUUUUCCUUACAUCUUCCAGAGUUUCUAAUGUUCAGGCUCAGUAAGUACUUGAAUGAAUAGACAGCCAUAUGGAUCCUGACAGGAGUGCUCCCUCACUGCAUGCCAAAUGCAAGUCAAGGACAAGACCAAGGAGACCUCUGCCCGGCCCAGCCCUCUUUCAGGCACUUCUGUGAUACCAUGUGUCUCUCUCCGAUGAAGCCAUUUUUUCUCAGAUUCCUUGGGAAAACAUCCCAGGCAUGUACAAUAACGGUCACCACUCUGACCAGGGGAAUGUCCCAGCUGAAUUUAUGUUUUUACCCUCAAGGACCAUGCAGCUAAACUCCACAUAGGGUGGGGCCCAGUAAUGAGAGAAGACUGUGGUGUGAAUGCCAGCAAUUUAGAGCGUUGGGCCCCUGCCCCUGAUGCAGCCAAAGGGCACUGCCCACUCUCCAUAGGACUGUUGUUAAUGGCCAAAGGGUGUCCUAUGAGUGUCAAAGGAAAGUUCACAUUUCCAUGGAAGGAUCAGAGGCCAAGGGAGAGGUCAGAUGCAUCUGUGGGGCUUUUGUCUGGUUGUUCUUUGUUAAAACCCACAUGUGGACGUAUUUUGAUCUCCCACAUAUCUGCAUGUGUUUCUGGGUGGAUGAGAAUGCUGUGCAGCUGGACCCUGAGUAAUGGUUCCGGCCUUCAACAAGCUCCGCGGAGGAGCAGUUUAGACAGGGUUGCAUUCUGCUCUCAAUUUCCACUUUGGCAAAGGAAACUGCAUAUUCAUCUCAUCAAGUAAGGGGAGAGUUAAGGGCGCUGCCACCAAAUUCUUCUCCCUUCCCAUAUGUGCAAGUCAUGAAGGAAAAGUUCUGACUGUGUUUUUCUGUCAUGCCAAUUCAUGGCUUAGGUGUGUCAAUGCCAGCCUAGUUCCUAGUACAUAGUAGGUGUUAUUUUCUAACUUUGUAUUAUGGGAAAUUCAAAGCAUGUACAAAGAUAGACAGCAUGUACAAGAUUUCAGGCAUAUAAAAAGGUACCUAUCAAUCAGUUUCGACGUUUAUGAACUCAUGGCCAAUACUGUUUUAUAUAUACCCCAACUCACUUCCUCCACCCCAUCUGCACUAUUUUGAAGCAAAUUCCAGACACCAUACAAUUUCUUCCAUAAACAGUUUUGUAUGAAUCUCUACAGUACCAUUUCACAUCUAAAAAAUAGCAGUAAGUCCUUAAUAUUAUCAAAUAUCUAGUCAGUAUUCAAAUUUUAAAUUGUCUCAUAAACGUCAUAAUUUUUUUUGUUUCCUUAUUUGAUUCAGAAUCCAAAUAAGGUCCACACAUUUGACUGACUGUAUGACUCAUUAUGUUUCUGUUCACCUAUAGAUGCUCCCUCCACCUCUCAUUGUCUCUCUUUCUCUCUGUUUCUUCUCUUGAAGGAAGUGAGUUGUUAGCCAUGGGGAGUUUCCAGCAGUCUACAGUUUUCUGACUGCAUCCCAGUGGUGUUAUUGUACAUGUAUCUUUGUCUUCUGUUUUUCCUGUAAAUUGGUAGUUGGGUCUUGGGUUUGAUCAGCUUCAGAUCUUAUUUUUACUUUUUUGGUAGGUCUGCUUUAUAGAUGCUCUAUUCUUCUAUCAGGAAGCACACGUGAUAUCUGUUUUCUCUCUUUGUGAUACUAGCAGCUAUUGAUGAUCAAUCCCUAGAUCCAUUAAUCCAUUGGAAGUCGCAAGAUGGUGAUGAUGAUUCUGCCAUUACUUCUUCAUUUAUUAGCUGUAAUACUUCUGUAAAGAGAAGAGAAACUUCUCAUCUAUUACUUGGUUAACCAUUGCAAUCAUCCAUAUAGGAAAGCCAGGAUAAAUGCUUGAUAAACCCCUUAUUUACCAGUGAUGAGGAAAAAAAGAAAAAAGAAUUGAUUCACCAACCUCAUUCAAGUGUGACGAAUUACUAUCUUUUAGAAUCAACAGGAACUCAUGAAUUUAAACAUAUUGAUGCAUUUUAAUCUAUUGCAGGUACUGUCAUUAUUGAUUUUUUCAAACUGUCCUGUCUUCGUCCAGCAGGAGCGUCUUAAAGUUGGCUCAUUAGUCCUUGGAUGCAAUUCGACUUGUCUCUGAUAAAGUUCUAUCUGGCAUGACAAGAUGUUCCAGGUAUUACAUUUUGGCCUCUCGCAAGAUGCCCAGCCCAUUACUAUGAAAGAAUCCACAGUCUCUGGCCCUGCAGAGGUUACCAUCCAGCGUGGAGGAGAGGCAGCCAGCCAAAUAAUUUACAUGUGUGGUAAUUGCAGUAAACUUUUAUUAGUGUUGUCAGCACAUUCGACACCUUUAUUGCAUUUGCCGAGCCCAGUGCCUGGGGACACAAAGGCAAAUAGUGAAAUUUAUCGAAUCCAUGCCAUGCAUCGCAGUCAUGCCAUUACUCUUUGUUAAAAAUCUCACCAAGAAAGAAAAAACACUGCCAACUAUAAUAUAAAUGCUUACUGAUUUCAGAGAUGCUAACUGCUGCAAAUCUGAUCUUAGAAUGAAUGAGAUGCAGUAAUCCCUUCCAGAUUCACCCAGAAGACAGGCAGGGAAACAAUCACACAGCCAAGGAAGAGGCACCAUUGGAGAGGUCUGAACAAUGUGCUAGGUUGGUCCGGAGCCAGGAACACCCGAUGGUAACCAAGAGGCAAGGCGGGUAGGCAUCACAGAGGAGCUGCCAUCUGAACAAGGUCUUAAUGAAUGGGUAAGGAUUUGCAGGGGAGAAGACAGGGCAUUCCAGGCUGAGGAAACCACACGUGCAAAGGCGAAAAAGAAUAAGAAUCACAUUCGGGGCUUUGGGUAUACGCCUCAAAUGAAGGCUCACAAUGGUAUGUUAGGUUUUAUUAUUACUUCUUUCUCACAGUGGAGAAAAUGGGCACAGGUUUAGUAAUCUGUCCAAGGUCUCAGCUGGUAAUCAAGAAAUAUUAGCUAUCGUUAGUAUUUCAGUCCAGUCAGUGGGCCAUUGUUCUAAAGCUGCGCUAUUCAACAUGGUAUCUACGAGCCACAUGUGGUCACUUGAAAUGUGGUAGUCCAAACUGAG